UUGCUGGAUUGUUCGAGAGGUAGUGCAUGGCCGCCGUCAGUUCGUACCGUAAGGCGUUCUGUUAAGUCAGAUAACGAACGAGACCCUCAUCCCUAUUUGCCAAGGUCUCUCCGGAGAUCAAGGGACUAUAGGGAGACCGCUGGCGCGAAGUCAGAGGAAGGCGAGGGCAACGGUAGGUCAGUAUGCUCCGAAUGCACUGGGCUACACGCGCAAUACAAAGGACGGGACAAUGGGCUGCUGCUCCGAGAGGAAUGAUGGCUAUCCCGAAACCCGUUCGUAGUUCGGAUCGAGGGCUGUAACUCGCCCUCGUGAAGCUGGAUUAGGUAGUAAUCGCGUCUCAAAAAGGCGCGGUGAAUACGCCCCUGUUCCUUGCACACACCGCCCGUCAAACCAUCUUAGUUGGGGGUGGGUGAGGCUGCCUUUUAGUGGGGUAGUCGAGCCUGCUUUCGACAAGGAGGGUUAAGUCGUAACAAGGUAUCUGUAGGGGAACCUGCAGAUG
rnacentral:rRNA from 1 species